UCUAUUCAAAAAUUUUCGUUACAUUUUCUUUCUAAAUUUUUAGUUUAUAUAUGUGACACGGAAAGUAAAAACCUACGAGUUGAAAUAAUUAAAUUUUACUUUUUAGCAGUUCUUAUAGUAAAUUCUUAACUAUACAUAACCUAGGUAUCUUUCCAUUAUCUUUAGACUUUGUCGCAAUUCCUUAAAAUUUUCGUGAUCCAGCGAUUCCUAAAUUAAGCGGUUGUAACGGUUGUAGAACACGAGGCCUCGACACAGGAUGACAUAAAAAAUGAAGCCGUUAAAGCCAAGUGAGGAAGAGUGUUGGUGACCAAAGUAAAAAGGGAGACAGAUUAUAUAGCAAAGCCGCGUGCUUCUUCUGGUUGGCGGAAGUGAGGCGUGCACCUUGUGGCAUAAUCAUCAGCCCAAUUCUCACAGGCAGACGCUCCCACACACAUACACUUACAUCGAUUUAUACAAACCCGUGCACCUUCAAAAACACAAGCCUUAUUAUAAUAGUCCUGCAAUUUUGCACUUUCACACACAUUUGGAGUUUCUUUUCCAUUUA